rnacentral:rRNA from 1 species
AGUGAACGCUGGCGGCAUGCCUAACACAUGCAAGUCGAACGGCAGCACAGCAGUAGCAAUACUGUGGGUGGCGAGUGGCGGACGGGUGAGGAAUACGUCGGAAUCUGCCCAGUCGUGGGGGAUAACUAGCCGAAAGGUUAGCUAAUACCGCAUACGACCGAGAGGUGAAAGCGGGGGACCGCAAGGCCUCGCGCGAUUGGAUGAGCCGACGUCGGAUUAGCUAGUUGGUGGGGUAAAGGCCCACCAAGGCGACGAUCCGUAGCUGGUCUGAGAGGAUGAUCAGCCACACCGGAACUGAGACACGGUCCGGACUCCUACGGGAGGCAGCAGUGGGGAAUAUUGCGCAAUGGGCGAAAGCCUGACGCAGCCAUGCCGCGUGUGUGAAGAAGGCCUCGGUUGUAAG